AUUCGGCUCUAUGAAAACACUAUCGCCUAAAUCAACCCCUCUAUUGAAAAAUCGUCUCUAGCUAUGGAAACUCUCUCCUCCAAAUCGUUAAAAAAUUUCUAGUUCUCCAUUCCAAGAAAGGGGUGCUGUCACGAGUUGGGGCAAGAUGGCAGGCAAUUUCAGGAACCAGAUUUUGUUGGAAUUUAGGUGAUAGGAUUUUUGGACUGUCAGCAGUCAGCUUGAAGUAGUGAUCCUCCUUCUUCUGAAAGGUUCGGAUGCCCAAUUCCCGGAUCGCGCAUAGACUUCCCAAAUUAUCAGUCGUAGAAGUGGUUUGGAUGCCCAGUUCCUGGAUCACGUAGACUUCCCAGACUAUCAGUCAUAGCAGUGUUGAUGAACUUGACAAUGAGCUAGCUUUAUAAGUCAAGAAAAGUACAAGAAUGAAGAAAAAGGACAUAGAAUGAUGCAUGGAAUAUAGACAAGGAUUUGUGUGGCCAUAUGCUCCAACAUCUUGUCAUAUGCCCCUAAAUUUGAUGGGAUAUCUUAGUAAAUAAAGCACUGAAGGAGAACUGAGCGACAUGCAUGACCAUAUGUGCCGACACCUAGGCAUGUGCCUCCACAUGUCAGGUCCACAUAAUGUAAAGCAAUGAACUGGAAGAAGGUUGCUUCUUGACAUACGAAGUCAUAUAUGCAUGCAGCUUUCCACAUGCACUGGCAUAUACGCUAGCAUGUUACCAAAGUAGUGGUAUUUUUGUAAUUAAUGGUUGCCUAUCUUCCCAGCUACA